GACCUCCGAGCUCCCGUCCCUGGGAGGGUGACAGCCGCCAGCCGGCCCACCUCCUCAGUCCCCAUUGGCUGCACCGCGCCUCUGCUGCACCAAGCUGGGGCUUCCCAGCCGGAGCGGGAGAGUGACGGCUGCUCCCUCCCGCGCCGGAAAGGAGGCAGCACCCAGCACGUCCCCCACGUAAGGAGCGCACGGUCACGCGUGGUGGCACUGUGCCACGCCUGAGCGGGUGGGUGGGACCCGGGGCAGGAGGUGUGCGACACGAUCUGGAGAGGAUGCGAGGACUGAUCUUGGAGUGUUGCCCCCGGACACCGCAGACUAGAGAACGCGAGCGGGGCCACACCCCUUCUUCUGAGAUUAGGGCUCGCCACCCCCCCACCUCCCCACUGUUGGGGAAGCACACAAGUGGGCGUGGAAAGCGAGCGGAAGCUAGAGCUAGGCGGCUUCGCGGAUCUUGCACUGGGUCCCUGCGCCUGCCCGCCCUAGAGUAGCCGGGAUCUAAGGAUGAUGCACGGAACCGUACCUUGGUCCCCCCAAGCCUACAUCCCAAAUUGUCAGAGUUCACAUGACUAAGCCCGAACCGCCCGCUCCAGUGGCUCCAAGUAAGAGUUCACGGGCUCCCGCAAGGAAUUUGAGCCUCAGGCCACAGGCUGUCCCCAUCCUCCCAGCCCUCUCAGGCUCUUUGGCAUCCUAGAGGUUGGGAGUACUGUUCAGUUUGGGGACUGAGGGGAAAUCCUGUUACUACACGUAAGAACUCAGACAAACAGAAGUGACUGCCACCCUGAUUCCACAGCUUCUCUUGCAGGCCUCGGUUCCUGAGGCCAAGACUGCCGCAUAUGGGGCCCUAAGAUGACCAGAGUCCGGCUUCUACCGCACACCCGGGUGCUGGGAGCCCCUGGCAUGGCAUCCAUCAAGGCGGAGAUACCUAAGCCCCAGGACACCCUUCAAGUACCCCAGGACCCUCACAGCCGCCACCACCCACUGGAGAAAGGGGACCUUAGACCAGAGGCCUCCAUCCAGGACACAUCCCUACCCUGCCUUGGGACAGGUGCAGAUGUGUCCUAAAUCACCUCACUGAGUCAGUCUCUCUCUCUCUCUCUCUCUCUCUCUCUCUUUUUUGGUUUUUCGAGACAGGGUUUCUCUGUGUAGUUUUGCGCCUUUCCUGGUACUCGCUUUGUAGACCAGGCUUGGCCUCGAACUCACAGAGAUCUGCCUGCCUCUGCCUCCCGAGUGCUGGGAUUAAAGGCGUGUGCCAACCACCGCCCGGCGAGUGUCUCUCUCUUUACCCAUAAGAUAGAACAGUAGCUAGGUAGCUUCUGAGGCUACAACCCGUGGUGUUUUGUUUUUGUUGUUGUUUGCUUUUUUUGUGAAACAACAGCCUAAAUAUCUUCAUCUAAUAAAAUACACCAGGCUGCUAUCAUAGAGUGGACUUGGGAGCUACAGGUUAAAGUUUGGGGGCCUGUUACCUGUACAUCACCAUUUCCAAGGCCCAGGGAGAGCCUAACAGUUACAUUUGAAUUAUUUUUCCUAAUUGAAGCCCCCCCCCACACACACACACACACAGAUUAUCUAGCCUUUGAGUCCCACGUAAAUCUCAAUCUACCCCUGGGUAACUCUAAAUCAAGAACAGCGGAUUUUUCCUGCCGACACAAACACUACCCAUGUGGCCGCCGGGACAAAAUGGUUCUUCUGAACUGUGUUUGGAUUUACAGGUACGUUUCGGCAGGCUCAGGAGGCUGGGGACUCUUUGAGGAUGGAGGGUUAUUUUUGUUCUUCUUAGCUCUGUAGGUUAAAUGGGCCACCUUUCUGAGCCCAGUGUCAGGGUCCUGGCCCUCACCCAGCCUUCAGCACUGUCACCCAUCAAGCCGGAGUCGGGGAGAAGCUUAGCCGUGCUUGUAGGCAGCCUGGAGAGGUUACCAGGACAAAUAUCAUUAUCCCCACUUAAUCAUUCAGUGAGGUGUGAGAGAGGCCUGCAGAUAAUAAGAAGAGACAGCCGGGCGGCGGCGGCGGCGGCGGCACAUGCCUUUAAUCCCAGCACUUGGGAGCCAGAGGCAGGCGGACCUCUAAGUUCGAGGCCAGCCUGGGCUACAGAGCAAGUUCCAGGAUAGG